rnacentral:pre_miRNA from 1 species
AAUACCUGGGGAUCUUGUUAAAAUGCAAAAUCUGAUUCAGGAGAUCUGGGCUUGGCCCGAGGUUCUGUAUUUUUAACAAGUUCCCAAGUGAGGUCAC